rnacentral:tRNA from 1 species
GCAGUGGUGGUUCAGUGGUAGAACGCUCGUCUCUCAUGUGAGAGACCCAGUUUCCAUUACUGGCCAAUGUA